CAGAGAUAAGAAUAAUGUCAAGGUUUGCAGGUGCAACGCCAUACGAAUAACAGCACAAAAACAACAGCAGGAGAAAGCUUAAAAAUAAUGAAGCAGCUUUGGUGAAAGUUUACAGACCUGCAAGCAGAAGAAGACAGGCUACAGUACUGCAGAGAAAAGGACCUGAGCAAUACAAGGUGAAGCCAUUCUGCAACAGCUUGGUGUCUGCUCUUCUCUCUCCACUUCAGCUGUGUUCUCACAUGCUGCAGCACCUCUGCAAGAAACAGAACCUCAACUCCUGCCUUGAUGCCUUGCAGCGCUGUCACCACCGUUUGUGUCUCCAAAGUCACAUCUGUGCCCUCACUCAGUGUGCCUCUUCUGAAACCGGAAAACUGCUGCUGUCUCCAUCUCUUCUGUCUGCCAGCUGCUCAAGCUCAGCUGAGAAGUAGAGUUUUCUUUGGUUUGAAGUGCUCUGUGAUCUGAAAGCAAAGCAUGCAUGGGACUGCUUACC
rnacentral:lncRNA from 1 species